rnacentral:rRNA from 2 species
CACUUAGAGGAAGGAGAAGUCGUAACAAGGUUUCUGUAGGUGAACCUGCGGAAGGAUCA